rnacentral:rRNA from 1 species
GGACGAAACGCUGGCGGCGUGCUUAACACAUGCAAGUCGAGCGGUAAGGCCCUUUCGGGGGGUACACGAGCGGCGAAACGGGUGAGUAACACGUGGGUGACCUGCCUCUAGCUCUGGGAUAAGCCUGGGAAACUGGGUCUAAUACUGGAUAUGACUCCACGGUGCAUGUCGUGGGGUGGAAAGCCUUGUGCGGCUGAGGAUGGG